CUCCUACGGGAGGCAGCAGCAAGGAAUUUUCCGCAAUGGGCGCAAGCCUGACGGAGCGACGCCGCGUGGAGGAUGACGCCCUUCGGGGUGUAAACUCCUUUUCGGGGGGACGAAGGCAGUG
rnacentral:rRNA from 1 species